AACGCACCUGGUGGCUACUGCAGCAGGAUUGGAUGGCACUGUCUCCCCCCCUCUUCUGAUGUUUAACAGGACGACAGAAAAAACACACAUUCAUCUGUGGUAGUCACACACCUACGCUGCCUGUCCCCUGCGCUGUCCAAACACACGAGUUUGAAGCUUCCGUAAUGAGGAAGAACGCUGAAAACACUCGGGUCCGGACGCGCUGUAUGAAUGUCUGCGAAGAUCUGUCAUUUUUGAUUACAGUCUUCCGUUAUUUUAUUCAUGAAAAUGGGAAAUUUUGUGACUGGAAUAUGCACUUUUUAAAAAAGCAUUUGGGACAGUGAAAAUUAAUGAAACUGCCUUCAAUGCUGCACAUGAUAAACACUUGUCAUUGGUGACACAAAGAUCAGAGCGCGUUUAAGCUAGGAUAAAAAUCGGCCCUGACCACCACCUGUAUUACGAGUAGUAACUGGCACCUGUGCUUUACCCGGUUCUUCCAAGCUCAUCUCGGCCUAAAAUGCAUAAUACUUGAUGGAGCAGUAUUAAUCAUGGGUAUCAACACUGGCGAGACGAUGGACACUUGAAAAAUAAAAAAUAGUUAAAGUGUCCUGAGAGACACCCAGGGCCUGUGCUGGGCUCAGUGCCCCGACAAUGGAAUUAUAGGCCAAUCAGAAUGACAGAAGUCGUUCUAAAAUGUAUGCAUGCAUGAUUCGGAUCGGAAAAUCAGAUUGUUAAAUACUCAUAACAGUAACAUGUUCACAAGUUAAAUUAUCCGCAAUCACGCCCCCCAAAAACAUUGUUUUCCAGAGUUUGUUGCUUGGUAUGAGUUCGUGGGUGUGUGGCGCUGACGUGUGUUUGUGUAGAGUUUAAUACUUUAAUACGUAUGCGACGGUUUUUCAGCGAUCCUAGCCUAAAAAGGGACAAGAUUGGCACCCGAGAGCACAGAAAUGCUUUCAAUCAAUUGCAGAAUUCUCAUUCGCGUAUCAGAAGACCCCGGGGUGGGGGGGGGCGGCCCAUGAUACGCUGGCGGGACUGUCGCUCAGCUGGCCUGGGAACCCCUCCUGGGAACUCCCCAGGAAGCGCUAGGAGUCUCGCCAGGGUGAGGGAGGUCUGGACCGCCGCGACUCAACACGCUGCUGCUGCUGCUGCUGCCGCUGCCGUGGCGACCCUCGCCAGGACAAGUGGACUGAGGAACGAACGAACGAAUAUCAGGACCCAUAUUUUCAUUUACAUAUCACAGGCGAUUGCCAAACAUCAUUUACGGUGUUUCUCUUACCAAAACCACGCAUUUGUCGUCUGCCAAACUGACCAAAAUAAUCCACAGAAGCAAUCUCGGAGAGGAAGUUUUGUGACAUCCGCUUCUGUGGACCAUUCUCCAGCACGAAGGGUCUCGCUUUGCCCUCAGGAGAUCCGGAACGGAUUCGUCGUUUCAGGACGUGACACCGAUGGGCAAGUUCUGGAUCAGAACUUGGGAGAUAAAAAUUACAAAAACAAAAUCCCGACCUCGGCUAGUACCGGUUCAGCGUAUCCAACUUGGCUAUUGUCCAUCGUGGCAGGUGUCGAGACUCCAAAAUACCUAUGAAGCAGAUGCUCAAAA